rnacentral:rRNA from 1 species
GAUGAACGCUAGCGGCAGGCCUAACACAUGCAAGUCGAGGGAGGAGCUUUCGGGCUUCGACCGGCGUACGGGUGCGUAACGCGUAUACAAUCUGCCUUUCACAUAGGGAUAGCCCGAAGAAAUUUGGAUUAAUACCUAAUGGUAUAUAGGAGUGGCAUCACAUUUAUAUUAAAGCUGAGGCGGUGAAAGAUGAGUAUGCGUUCUAUUAGCUAGUUGGAGAGGUAACGGCUCCCCAAGGCGACGAUAGAUAGGGGUUCUGAGAGGGAUAUCCCCCACACUGGUACUGAGAUACGGACCAGACUCCUACGGGAGGCAGCAGUGAGGAAGAUUGGACAAUGGUCGGAAGACUGAUCCAGCCAUGCCGCGUGCAGGAAGACGGCCUUAUGGGUUGUAAACUGCUUUUGCAGGGGAAGAAUAAGGACUACGAGUAGUUUGAUGACGGUACUCUGCGAAUAAGCAUCGGCUAACUCCGUG